rfam:Homo sapiens chromosome 15, GRCh38 reference primary assembly.
GCUGGAUGCGGUGGCACGUGCCUGUAGUCCUAGCUACUUGGGAGGCUGAGGCAGGAGGAUCGCUUGAGUUCAGGAGUUCUGGGCUGCAGUGUGCUGUGCUGAUUGGAUGUCCACACUAAGUUUGACAUCAACAAGGUGACCUCCCAGGAGCGGGGGACCACCAGGUUGCCCAAGGAGGGGUGAACCAGCCCAGAUCCAAAAUGGAGCAGGUCAGAACUCCCAUGCUGAUCAGUGGGACUGCACCUGUGAAUAGCCACUGAACUCCAGCCUGGGCAACAUAGUGAGACCUCAUUUCUA